UACGAAGGGGGCUAGCGUUGCUCGGAAUCACUGGGCGUAAAGGGUGCGUAGGCGGAUUUCUAAGUCAGGGGUGAAAGCCUGAGGCUCAACCUCAGAACUGCCUUGAUACUGGAAGUCUUGAGACCGGAAGAGGUAAGUGGAACUGCGAGUGUAGAGGUGAAAUUCGUAGAUAUUCGCAAGAACACCAGUGGCGAAGGCGGCUUACUGGUCCGGUUCUGACGCUGAGGCACGAAAGCGUGGGGAGCAAACAGG
rnacentral:rRNA from 1 species